GGGAUACGCGCAGAGCAGGGCCUGAAGAAAGGCUCUUUACAACACACCCAACAGGAAUCCGGGGUCAAUGUAACAAAGGGGCACAAAGCUUAUGGCUUCCCUAUGAAAAAAUGCUCUGUACGU